CCCUUAGAUGUUCUGGGCGGCCCGCGCACUACAAUGGCGUGUGCAGCGAGUGCCGAAGUAGAGUUUUCCGAGGUAUUCUUGCAAUGCCCGUUUUGAUGGGGAUAGACCCUUGCAACUGUUGGUUUUGAACGAGGAAUUCCUUGUAAGCAUGGUUUAUCAUCCGACGCUGAAUGCGUCCCUGCCCUUUGUACACACCGCCCGUCGCUCCUACCGAUGAGUCGUCCGGUGAAGUUCGUAGACCUCGUGAUCGCGGAUCACUGGGGGAAGCAAAAUGAACCUCGCGGUUUAGAGGAAGGAGAAGUCGUAACA
rnacentral:rRNA from 1 species